rnacentral:lncRNA from 1 species
CAAUUUACAACCUCAAUCUCUUCCAGCUUCACCCCAAAACCCUAGUACGUCUCUCUCUCUCUCUCACUAACUAUUAUCAUCGCUGGGAAAAAUCGUAAUUUUCGUCCUCUUAAUUCUCACCAGAAUUAUCCUUGGUGAAAUUACCUCCUAUUUGCUUCUCCUUGUAGUUUCCCAAAUUUGUAUAUCUAUUCAGUGUCCUUCUAUUUUCUCGAUCGCUACCUGCCUCGCUUCCUCCGGCAUCGAAAUGAUUAGAUUUUUCUUCGUUGUCUCCCCAUGGUGUGCGCCUGAAUAUGUAAGUGUCCGUUUCUUAUGUAAG